rnacentral:rRNA from 1 species
GGAACAGCCGUCUCGAUCCUGGCCUCAUCUUCAUCGGGGGGCCAUGGUGAAGGGGCGGAUGAAAAACUCAAACCGGCGCAGUUAAGCGCCAAGGAAAAUAUCAAAAUACAUGAGCCCUAGAUCGGGUUUUAUGGCAUGGGGUGCCGUUGCACAUCAUGCGGUUGACAUGACUCUCGGCAAUGGAUAUCUCGGCUCUCGCAUCGAUGAAGAGCGCAGCGAAAUGCGAUACGUGGUGCGAAUUGCAGAAUCCCGCGAACCAUCGAGAAUUUGAACGCAAGUUGCGCCCGAGGCCAGCCGGCCAAGGGCACGUCCGCCUGGGCGUCAAGCGUUGCGUCGCUCCGUGCCAACUCCAGCCCACCCAAGGGGUGCGUCGGUCGAGGCUCGGAUGUGUAGAGUGGCCCGUCGUGCCCUUCGGCGCGGCGGGCUGAAGAGUGGGUCAUCGUCUCAUCGGCCAUGAACAGCAAGGGGUGGAUGAAAAUUGUGCCUGUGCUGCGCCGUGGCGGCUCGAGAAGAGAUGGUACCUUGYAGGUGAUCCCAGCCCAUGCGCCGGUCCAACGGGCGGCGGCUUGGAAUGCGACCCCAGGAUGGGCGAGGCCACCCGCCGAGUUUA